UGGAAACAGAGGCUCUGUGACAUCUCCAGUGAGCUUAUUAUCUUCUGAUCAGCUUAAUUUUAGGAGGUAACUGGUCCAAGACCCUAACACUCUGGGAGUGUUAGAACCAUGUAACCUCAGUAUGCCAGGAUAAUCCUGAGCUCAUCCAUUGCCAGCUGGUUAUGAAACCUCGUUUCCCACCAUGAAGUCAUAGGUACUAACCAAAGAAGAGAUAUUGGUGCAAUAAAGAUUAUUCUCCAGGGCUGAUGUUCUAUGAGGAAGCUUGAAGAGUUGAGAUCCAUAGGAGGAAAUGUAGAUGGUAUAAAGGAGAACUGAUUUGAAGAAAGAGCACAAAACCAAGAAGGAGGAACUCCUGUCCCACUUAAUAAUCUACUUAUGUGAUGAGUUUAUACCACCUGUGCUAUUGGAAGGACACUGACGAGGUCCCCAGAACAACACAUGCUGCACCAACACACAACCUUGUGUCUUAAAUGAGCUCAGGGAAACAAGCAACUUUCCAAAACAUUUAUAGGAAAUACAAGAUAUAACAAGUGCGUUUGUGUAUGUGUGUAUUUUAUGUGUGUUAUUUUGUCCUUGAGGGAUUAGGUAUGUGUUCAGUAUAUUGAUUCUGAACUUAGUUUUGGGGAUAGGAUGUAUCACCCAAAUUAUUUCCAGAUUUUCUGAUGAAGGUUUUUCAGUGGCUGCUUCAGUCAGCAGCAUGUGGACUCCAGACCAAAGUCCCACUAUGUUGACUCAGCUUCAGUUCCUGAAGCAAGACUCCUCAUUUCACUCUGAGGGAAGAAUUAGAAAUAAAGAAUAAGCCUUCUUUAAACUGUCAAGUUGAGAUUUUUGAGUUAACUUUUUUUCCCUCAUUUUUUUUUUUUUUUGAGGAAGAUUAGCCCUGAGCUAACUACUGCCAGUCCUCCUCUUUUUGCUGAGGAAGGCUGGCACUGAGCUAACAUCG
rnacentral:lncRNA from 1 species